rnacentral:ncRNA from 1 species
AGAUAGAGGCGCGAAAAUCAGGAGUAUCCAUAAGGAGCAGCUCAUACGCAAAGAAUUAUGGAAAAAGGGAAAUUCGCCGAAACGGGCGGCUGUUUGAGCAGCGCUUUGUUGGGCGGGAAGAGAACAUCUUUCCGACUGUCACAAGCAGAUUGUGAUGAGCUAUUA